rnacentral:rRNA from 1 species
GACAGAGGCCUCAAGCGUUAGGCGGAAUCACUGGGCUUAAAGCGUGUGUAGGCGGAUCGUUAAGUGUCUUGUGAAAUCCCACGGCUCACCCGUGGAACUGGCUGGGCAUACUGGCGAUCUUGGGCCAACUAGGGGCAACUGGAACAAGCGGUGGAGCGGUGAAAUGCGUAGAUAUCGCUUGGAACGCCAAAGGUGAAAACAGGUUGCUGGGGUUGUGCCGACGCUGAGACACGAAAGCCAGGGGAGCAAACGGG